GAUUUCUGGCUUGACAGCGUUGGCCCGCUACUUUAGUAGUGUGUGUCGGUCGUUGUCUGCCAUCCUUUCACAGAACGUCUCUACCCUUCACUGGGCCGGAUUCGCAAUGUGGAACUUUUACUUUGAAAAAAUUAGAGUGUUCAAAGCAGGCUUGCGCUAUGAAUACAUUAGCAUGGAAUAAUAAUUUAGGACUACGGUUCUAUUUUGUUGGUUUUCAGGACUGAGUAAUGAUUGAUAGGGAUAGUUGGGGGUGCUAGUAUUCAGCGGCCAGAGGUGAAAUUCUUGGAUUCGCUGAAGACUAACUUAUGCGAAAGCAUU
rnacentral:rRNA from 2 species